CGUCAUACGCGCAUUGAACGUUGAACAAUUUUUUUUUUUUUAAUGUUUUAACAAUUUACGAUAAAAUUCAUCAAAUGACAUAUUAUUUCUUUACACCGUACUCAUUCGUCAUACAGCAUUACAAAAUGUUUUAAAACUGAACACAAGGUUGCAGCGUAAUAUUAGGAACCUCAUUUACAGCCGUCAAUUCUUGGGGGUCCUGCUGAAAUACAACAUUUCUUAUUCCUGGAUUUAGACAGUUGUAGUUAUAGAAACUUGAAUAAUGGUAACCGAUUCUUGCAAGUUUUGCUGACUGGCAACAUAUCUUCUGUUUUUAAUUUAAUAAUCGUUCGAGCGACCAAUAUUUGUGACAUUUGCUGAGUGGCUACAAGUCAUCUUUUUUUUAAUUAG